GAACCAGUAGCUCAGCGGUAGAGCGCUUGCCGUCAAUGGCGAGGUCGUCGGUUCAACUCCGAUCUGGUACG